rnacentral:lncRNA from 1 species
ACAAACCUGGGAUUCCCUCGCCCUCAGAUUCCAGAAUCCAAUUUCUUGGAUUUCAGUGUUUUUAAGGAUUCCGUGAGUCAGGAGCUUGGCCAGGUUCAUCUGGGACACUCAUCUUUGCUUCACCUCAUGUCAGCCGCAGCAUCUUAGGAAUGCAAGACAGCCUCGUUCACAUCCGGCAGUGGGUGCCAGCUGUCCACUGGGUGCCUUCGCUCUUUUUCAAGUGGUUUCUCAUCCUCUGGGGUUUCCCUGUCUCCAUGUGGCUUCCCUAGCAAGUUGCUCAGAUUUCUUUACGUGGAAACUGGCUUUCUAGAGGGUAAAAAUGGAAGCUGCAAGGACUCUUAUGGCCCAGAAGUCCCAGAACGUCACUUCUUCCACAAGUCAUAGGCCAGCCAAGAUUCAAGGGGAAGGAAACAGACUCUGUCUCUUCAUAUUUCAAUGGGGCGAAUUGUUGCAGCCACCUUUGGAAACAAUCUACGGCAAUACACUACAGCAGUGGAUAUCUGUGCCCUUACCAGGUGCCAGAUGCCGUACUAACAGCUUUAUAUGGAUGAACUCAUUUAAUCCUCCCAAACUCCAUGAGGUUUUGCAGUCCUUGCCAUGAGUGGCCAGUUGCUGAUAGCAUUGCUGCUGCCUGUUGCUAUUCUGGGAUAGGGACUGAGGAUGUGCUGUGAUUACCCAGACCAGAAGGAAGCUCAGAAGGCACUGGUCCUCUCAGGUGGCACCCAGAUCCAAUGUGAGCCAUGGCGGACGAAGGGUGGUUAAGUGAAAAGCUUUGGAGUGCUGACAGGUGGUCCCUCUGAUAUGCCAGGAAAUUCAUUCUGGGCAAGAGAAACAAAGUAGAGUCCAUCUUCUAAUGUUACUGGCACCAUACCAACAAGGUGUCAGCUAGAAACCUCUCUCUCUCUCUUGCAAAUUCUAGCCUGCAAAACCUGAGGACUGGCCUCAGUCUAGUCAGAAAUUUGCCUGAAAACAUCAUUCCUUGGGGUGGUGGGACUUCUGGGUAAACCAGUGUGACUUGAAUUCUUGAUUUCUUAUACUCCCUUCUAACCAACCACCUGAAUGCUGAUCUCUACUAGCUAUCUGUGUGCCUUGCAUUUCAAUCAGCAGCCUUAAAAAUGAUGAGGAGGAGGAGGAUGAGGACGAUAGCCAACAUUUACUGUUUUUCAGUUACUGUUCUAAGUACUUUACAAAUACCAGAUAAUUUUUUCUUCAUAGCACUGUCAUUACUCCCAUUUUACAGAUGAAGAAAACAAGGCUUAAAUAGAUCACAUGAUUUGGUCAAGGUCACUCAUGUCAUAGAGCCUGAAUCCAAAUCCAGUGAAGCCUCCAGAGCCUAGGUUCUACCCAUGACCCUGUGUUGCCUAUUGAUGGUACGGUGUAGGUUUUUUCCUUCUUCCUUUUUCUUUUUUUGAAAGUCUUUAUUGAAUUAUAAUUGGCAUACCAUUAACUGCAAAUAUUUGAAAAAUAAAAUUUUAUGAGCUCUGACAUACAUACACCCAUAAAACCAUUGUUCCAAUCAAGAUAAUGAAUAUGUCCGUCAUUCCCAAAAGCUUCCCUGUGCCCCUUGGUAAUCCAUCCCUCACUCCCCACCCCAUUCUGUUCCUAGGCAACUAAUCAUCUGUUUUCUGUCAGAUUAAUUUGCAUUUUCUAGAGUUUUAUAUAUGGAAGCAGACAGCAUGUACUCUUUUUUUGUCUGGCUUCUUUCACUCAGCAUAAUUAUUUUUAGUUUCAUCUAUAUUGGUGCAUGUAUCAACAAUUCAUUCUUUUCUAUUCCUGAGUACUAUUCCAUUAUAUAGGUGUACUAAAUUUGUUUAUUCAACUCUUGAUGGACAUUGAGUUGUUUACAGUUUUUGGCUAUUACAAAUAAAGCUGCUAUGAACCUUC